GAUGAACGCUGGCGGUAUGCUUAACACAUGCAAGUCGAACGGUCACUUCGGUGAUAGUGGCGGACGGGUGAGUAACGCGUGAGAAUCUGUCUUCAGGUCGGGGACAACAGUUAGAAAUGACUGCUACUACCGGAUGUGCCGAAAGGUAAAAGAUUUAUUGCCUGAAAAAGAGCUCGCGUCAGAUUAGCUAGUAGGUGGUGUAAGAGACUACCUAGGCGACGAUCUGUAGCUGGUCUGAGAGGACGAUCAGCCACACUGGAACUGAGGCACGGUCCAGACUCCUACGGGAGGCAGCAGUGGGGGAAUUUUCCGCAAUGGGCGAAAGCCUGACGGAGCAAUACCGCGUGAGGGACGAAGGCUUUUGGGUCGUAAACCUCUUUUAUUAGGGAAGGUUUCAGGACGGUACCUAAUGAAUAAGCAUCGGCUAACUCUGUGCCAGCAGCCGCGGUAAU
rnacentral:rRNA from 1 species